UUAAGCGACUAAGCGUACACGGUGGAUGCCCUGGCAGUCAGAGGCGAUGAAGGACGUGCUAAUCUGCGAUAAGCGUCGGUAAGGUGAUAUGAACCGUUAUAACCGGCGAUUUCCGAAUGGGGAAACCCAGUGUGUUUCGACACACUAUCAUUAACUGAAUCCAUAGGUUAAUGAGGCGAACCGGGGGAACUGAAACAUCUAAGUACCCCGAGGAAAAGAAAUCAACCGAGAUUCCCCCAGUAGCGGCGAGCGAACGGGGAGGAGCCCAGAGCCUGAAUCAGUGUGUGUGUUAGUGGAAGCGUCUGGAAAGGCGCGCGAUACAGGGUGACAGCCCCGUACACAAAAAUGCACAUAUUGUGAGCUCGAUGAGUAGGGCGGGACACGUGGUAUCCUGUCUGAAUAUGGGGGGACCAUCCUCCAAGGCUAAAUACUCCUGACUGACCGAUAGUGAACCAGUACCGUGAGGGAAAGGCGAAAAGAACCCCGGCGAGGGGAGUGAAAAAGAACCUGAAACCGUGUACGUACAAGCAGUGGGAGCACGCUUAGGCGUGUGACUGCGUACCUUUUGUAUAAUGGGUCAGCGACUUAUAUUCUGUAGCAAGGUUAACCGAAUAGGGGAGCCGAAGGGAAACCGAGUCUUAACUGGGCGUUAAGUUGCAGGGUAUAGACCCGAAACCCGGUGAUCUAGCCAUGGGCAGGUUGAAGGUUGGGUAACACUAACUGGAGGACCGAACCGACUAAUGUUGAAAAAUUAGCGGAUGACUUGUGGCUGGGGGUGAAAGGCCAAUCAAACCGGGAGAUAGCUGGUUCUCCCCGAAAGCUAUUUAGGUAGCGCCUCGUGAAUUCAUCUCCGGGGGUAGAGCACUGUUUCGGCAAGGGGGUCAUCCCGACUUACCAACCCGAUGCAAACUGCGAAUACCGGAGAAUGUUAUCACGGGAGACACACGGCGGGUGCUAACGUCCGUCGUGAAGAGGGAAACAACCCAGACCGCCAGCUAAGGUCCCAAAGUCAUGGUUAAGUGGGAAACGAUGUGGGAAGGCCCAGACAGCCAGGAUGUUGGCUUAGAAGCAGCCAUCAUUUAAAGAAAGCGUAAUAGCUCACUGGUCGAGUCGGCCUGCGCGGAAGAUGUAACGGGGCUAAACCAUGCACCGAAGCUGCGGCAGCGACACUAUGUGUUGUUGGGUAGGGGAGCGUUCUGUAAGCCUGCGAAGGUGUGCUGUGAGGCAUGCUGGAGGUAUCAGAAGUGCGAAUGCUGACAUAAGUAACGAUAAAGCGGGUGAAAAGCCCGCUCGCCGGAAGACCAAGGGUUCCUGUCCAACGUUAAUCGGGGCAGGGUGAGUCGACCCCUAAGGCGAGGCCGAAAGGCGUAGUCGAUGGGAAACAGGUUAAUAUUCCUGUACUUGGUGUUACUGCGAAGGGGGGACGGAGAAGGCUAUGUUGGCCGGGCGACGGUUGUCCCGGUUUAAGCGUGUAGGCUGGUUUUCCAGGCAAAUCCGGAAAAUCAAGGCUGAGGCGUGAUGACGAGGCACUACGGUGCUGAAGCAACAAAUGCCCUGCUUCCAGGAAAAGCCUCUAAGCAUCAGGUAACAUCAAAUCGUACCCCAAACCGACACAGGUGGUCAGGUAGAGAAUACCAAGGCGCUUGAGAGAACUCGGGUGAAGGAACUAGGCAAAAUGGUGCCGUAACUUCGGGAGAAGGCACGCUGAUAUGUAGGUGAAGCGACUUGCUCGUGGAGCUGAAAUCAGUCGAAGAUACCAGCUGGCUGCAACUGUUUAUUAAAAACACAGCACUGUGCAAACACGAAAGUGGACGUAUACGGUGUGACGCCUGCCCGGUGCCGGAAGGUUAAUUGAUGGGGUCAGCGCAAGCGAAGCUCUUGAUCGAAGCCCCGGUAAACGGCGGCCGUAACUAUAACGGUCCUAAGGUAGCGAAAUUCCUUGUCGGGUAAGUUCCGACCUGCACGAAUGGCGUAAUGAUGGCCAGGCUGUCUCCACCCGAGACUCAGUGAAAUUGAACUCGCUGUGAAGAUGCAGUGUACCCGCGGCAAGACGGAAAGACCCCGUGAACCUUUACUAUAGCUUGACACUGAACAUUGAGCCUUGAUGUGUAGGAUAGGUGGGAGGCUUUGAAGUGUGGACGCCAGUCUGCAUGGAGCCGACCUUGAAAUACCACCCUUUAAUGUUUGAUGUUCUAACGUGGACCCGUGAUCCGGGUUGCGGACAGUGUCUGGUGGGUAGUUUGACUGGGGCGGUCUCCUCCUAAAGAGUAACGGAGGAGCACGAAGGUUGGCUAAUCCUGGUCGGACAUCAGGAGGUUAGUGCAAUGGCAUAAGCCAGCUUGACUGCGAGCGUGACGGCGCGAGCAGGUGCGAAAGCAGGUCAUAGUGAUCCGGUGGUUCUGAAUGGAAGGGCCAUCGCUCAACGGAUAAAAGGUACUCCGGGGAUAACAGGCUGAUACCGCCCAAGAGUUCAUAUCGACGGCGGUGUUUGGCACCUCGAUGUCGGCUCAUCACAUCCUGGGGCUGAAGUAGGUCCCAAGGGUAUGGCUGUUCGCCAUUUAAAGUGGUACGCGAGCUGGGUUUAGAACGUCGUGAGACAGUUCGGUCCCUAUCUGCCGUGGGCGCUGGAGAACUGAGGGGGGCUGCUCCUAGUACGAGAGGACCGGAGUGGACGCAUCACUGGUGUUCGGGUUGUCAUGCCAAUGGCACUGCCCGGUAGCUAAAUGCGGAAGAGAUAAGUGCUGAAAGCAUCUAAGCACGAAACUUGCCCCGAGAUGAGUUCUCCCUGACUCCUUGAGAGUCCUGAAGGAACGUUGAAGACGACGACGUUGAUAGGCCGGGUGUGUAAGCGCAGCGAUGCGUUGAGCUAACCGGUACUAAUGAACCGUGAGGCUUAACCUU
rnacentral:rRNA from 1 species